ACCCCUAAUUAAAACUCUAAAAACUCUCAUAAUUCACUCGCCACUUUUUCUUCUCCCCUCUCCUUCUCCCCUCUUCCGCCUUUUCCAUUCAAAACGAUGAGCGGCGCCGCCGCCAUUUCCAUGGCCUCCGCCGCUCCCCUUCUCCCCUCUCCCAGCCAUGGCGGUCUUCUCCCCCACCAGAUCUCGGAACCUCUGCCAAAUCGUCUCCUCUCCACCCGUCUUCUUUAGCGGUCUUCUUCUACCUCUGUCGCCGUCUCCACCGCGUGCUACCGUCUCCACCUUCCAUCGCGUCCUCCGUCCCCGCCCUCCGUCGCGUGUACCGCCUCCACCGCCUCUACCCUCCACCUUCUCCACCUCGUCUACGGUCUCCACCACCGCCAUCCGCCUCGUACAUCGGGAUCCCCAGAUCUGGUGAAGGAGACGAUUUGAUGGGGUUGCAGAUCUGGAUUUUUUUUUUUUCAGAGUUUGAUUUUUAAGUUCUUGAUGGGUUCCGUUCUUGAUUUUUUUUGGAAUUUUUUCUCAUAAUUUGCUGAAUUGUUGAAGCUUGAAGAAGAAUGUGCAAAGUAAUUUAUGUAUUGAAUUUUUUUUGCUGAAUUUCUGCAUUGAGUUUCAUAAUUUGCUGAAUUUUUUCCAUUGAAUAUGCUCUGUUGGUUGCAGAUCUGGAAUUUUGUGUUUGAUACCUCUAAUUAAUUUCCAG
rnacentral:lncRNA from 1 species